UUUCUUCUUUUCCCAAUAUUUCUAGGAAAGGCAGAAAAUACUGAAGGCCAAGGAACCCCCAAACUAAAGCUAAAAUGGAAGUGCAAGAAGGAGGAUGAGUCAAAAGGUGGCUACUCCAAAGACGUCCUCCUACGGCUUUUGCAGAAGUAUGGUGAGGUUCUCAACCUGGUGCUUUCCAGUAAGAAGCCAGGCACUGCUGUGGUGGAGUUUGCAACCGUCAAGGCAGCGGAGCUGGCUGUCCAGAAUGAAGUUGGCCUGGUGGAUAACCCUCUGAAGAUUUCCUGGUUGGAGGGACAGCCCCAGGAUGCCGUGGGCCGCAGCCACUCAGGACUGUCAAAGGGCUCAGUGCUGUCAGAGAGGGACUACGAGAGCCUCGUCAUGAUGCGCAUGCGCCAGGCGGCCGAGCGGCAACAGCUGAUCGCACGGAUGCAGCAGGAAGACCAGGAGGGGCCGCCUACGUAGCCCCAGCUCCAGCCAUCCACCCCUCAGCCCUUUUCUUCAACGUCACCAAUAAAUUUUUUUUUUUUUU
rnacentral:lncRNA from 1 species